CUUGCAUUAUGGCCACAUUCUGCAUAGAGAGCCUGUGGUGAUUGAUGAUCCAGAACAGAAAGUGAGCCAGGAUGUGUUGACCCUUCCUUCCUUACCCAGGAAUGGGACCCUCAGAUGUUUCUUGUCUGUUCUGUGACCAUGAAUGUCCUCACUGUUGCUCUGUUCCUUGCUGAUCCCUGCUCCUGUUACACAAACAAGUCCAGAGGACAGCACGCAGAAACUCACUGCCAUUUAGAGCCGACAUUCUCAGAUCCCAAGUGAGAGGUAGGGUCAUUACUAGUUUGCCUUCAGUUUUUUGUUUUCACAAACAAACAUUAAAGUGCAGUGGGGAGCAUGCUCAUAAAUCCAAAGCAUAUUUGAUUAAAGGAUAUCUCAGCCCAUGUUCAACCUCUACCCAUCAGUUCUGCCCCCGACUUUCAGGCCGUUCAUCUCAGGAAGCACAAAACGAAAACCUUCUGGGUAUGUAGAAAUGUGCUGAGCUGGGUUCUGUGACAGGUCAUUUACUUUGGAGGUUUUCCAGUGACCUUUUUAGCAAGAGUCACAUGUAAGAGUAUGACAAUAUAUGAGAUAACACAGGAAGAAAAUGUCGAGGGGAUGCUCUACUCGUCUGUGUAAAGUGACAUGGACAGUGACAUGGGAAGCCUCUGAGACAAGCCGAUGACAAAUGGCACUGUGGAUGAUGUAAUCCGUUGUUUCUAUCUUACAUGAAAGGCUAAAAAUGAAGGUUCUGAGUAUCUGCCUGAAAACAUUGGGGAGCAGAUGAAAAGAAGAAGCUGAGAGGCAAGAGAGGGACGAGGAACCAGAAGCAAAAGUGGAAGGAAUGAACUAGAACACAGAGCCAGCAAGGAGGGACAGACUACAGGCUAGAGAAGGUUCUUCCGGCAGACCAUGAGAGCAGCUGAAUUUCUGGCAAGGCUUAUUAAGGAAGACAGAGAAAGAAAAACAAAGAUCACAGUCAGUAAAAUGGACAGAAUACCAGAUCCAGCAGACUCUGCACAGUCAGUGGGGAUACUGUCAGUGAGCUGAGUCUGUGUCACGAAUAAAAGAUGGAGACAACUGAACAGUGCGCUUUGUAGCAAUGCAGGUAACUGAUUAAAAACUUGCUUAGAAUACG